CACAAGCGGUGGAUGAUGUUGGUUUAAUUCGUAUGCAACGACGAAAAACCUUAACCCACCUUUGACAUGGCAGGAAUCCUAAGAGAUUUUGGAGUGCUCGAAAGAGAACCUGCACACAGGUGCUGCAUGGCUGUCGUCAGCUCGUGUCGUGAGAUGUUGGGUUAAGUCCCGCAACGAGCGCAACCCUUGCCAUUAGUUGCUACGAAAGGGCACUCUAAUGGGACUGCCGGUGACAAACCGGAGGAAGGUGGGGAUGACGUCAAGUCCUCAUGGCCCUUAUAGGUGGGGCUACACACGUCAUACAAUGGCCGGUACAGAGGGUAGCCAACCCGCGAGGGGGGAGCCAAUCCCACAAAGCCGGUCGUAGUCCGGAUCGCAGUCUGCAACUCGACUGCGUGAAGUCGGAAUCGCUAGUAAUCGCGGAUCAGCAUGUCGCGGUGAAUACGUUCCCGGGUCUU
rnacentral:rRNA from 1 species